GAUGAACGCUGGCGGCGUGCCUAAUACAUGCAAGUCGAGCGAACGGACGAGAAGCUUGCUUCUCUGAUGUUAGCGGCGGACGGGUGAGUAACACGUGGAUAACCUACCUAUAAGACUGGGAUAACUUCGGGAAACCGGAGCUAAUACCGGAUAAUAUUUUGAACCGCAUGGUUCAAAAGUGAAAGACGGUCUUGCUGUCACUUAUAGAUGGAUCCGCGCUGCAUUAGCUCGUUGGUAAGGUAACGGCUUACCAAGGCAACGAUGCAUAGCCGACCUGAGAGGGUGAUCGGCCACACUGGAACUGAGACACGGUCCAGACUCCUACGGGAGGCAGCAGUAGGGAAUCUUCCGCAAUGGGCGAAAGCCUGACGGAGCAACGCCGCGUGAGUGAUGAAGGUCUUCGGAUCGUAAAACUCUGUUAUUAGGGAAGAACAUAUGUGUAAGUAACUGUGCACAUCUUGACGGUACCUAAUCAGAAAGCCACGGCUAACUACGUGCCAGCAGCCGCGGUAAUACGUAGGUGGCAAGCGUUAUCCGGAAUUAUUGGGCGUAAAGCGCGCGUAGGCGGUUUUUUAAGUCUGAUGUGAAAGCCCACGGCUCAACCGUGGAGGGUCAUUGGAAACUGGAAAACUUGAGUGCAGAAGAGGAAAGUGGAAUUCCAUGUGUAGCGAUGAAAUGCGCAGAGAUAUGGAGGAACACCAGUGGCGAAGGCGACUUUCUGGUCUGUAACUGACGCUGAUGUGCGAAAGCGUGGGGAUCAAACAGGAUUAGAUACCCUGGUAGUCCACGCCGUAAACGAUGAGUGCUAAGUGUUAGGGGGUUUCCGCCCCUUAGUGCUGCAGCUAACGCAUUAAGCACUCCGCCUGGGGAGUACGACCGCAAGGUUGAAACUCAAAGGAAUUGACGGGGACCCGCACAAGCGGUGGAGCAUGUGGUUUAAUUCGAAGCAACGCGAAGAACCUUACCAAAUCUUGACAUCCUUUGACAACUCUAGAGAUAGAGCUUUCCCCUUCGGGGGACAAAGUGGCAGGUGGUGCAUGGUUGUCGUCAGCUCGUGUCGUGAGAUGUUGGGUUAAGUCCCGCAACGAGCGCAACCCUUAAGCUUAGUUGCCAUCAUUAAGUUGGGCACUCUAAGUUGACUGCCGGUGACAAACCGGAGGAAGGUGGGGAUGACGUCAAAUCAUCAUGCCCCUUAUGACUUGGGCUACACACGUGCUACAAUGGACAAUACAAAGGGCAGCGAAACCGCGAGGUCAAGCAAAUCCCAUAAAGUUGUUCUCAGUUCGGAUUGUAGUCUGCAACUCGACUACAUGAAGCUGGAAUCGCUAGUAAUCGUAGAUCAGCAUGCUACGGUGAAUACGUUCCCGGGUCU
rnacentral:rRNA from 1 species